rnacentral:rRNA from 1 species
UGGGGAAUUUUGGACAAUGGGCGCAAGCCUGAUCCAGCCAUGCCGCGUGCAGGAUGAAGGCCUUCGGGUUGUAAACUGCUUUUGUACGGAACGAAACGGCUCUUUCUAAUAAAGAGGGCUAAUGACGGUACCGUAAGAAUAAGCACCGGCUAACUACGUGCCAGCAGCCGCGGUAAUACGUAGGGUGCGAGCGUUAAUCGGAAUUACUGGGCGUAAAGCGUGCGCAGGCGGUGAUGUAAGACAGAUGUGAAAUCCCCGGGCUCAACCUGGGAACUGCAUUUGUGACUGCAUCGCUGGAGUGCGGCAGAGGGGGAUGGAAUUCCGCGUGUAGCAGUGAAAUGCGUAGAUAUGCGGAGGAACACCGAUGGCGAAGGCAAUCCCCUGGGCCUGCACUGACGCUCAUGCACGAAAGCGUGGGGAGCAAACAGGA